AUCGAAAGGCCACAAGGGCGUUUACCCCCCUUUUCCGAGGAGGAAAAUCAAGUCCUUGUUGCAAGUUAUUUCCAAAGACACUCCCAAAUCCGGGGCCUGGGCAUCUCCCGUGCGAGUGCUCCUGAAAGAGAACGCCUAUGGGAGCAGAUCGCUGUGGCAGUGAGUGCAGUGGGAGGCCGUGCUCGCCGUACCUCUGACAAGGUGCAGAAGCACUUAAAUGACCUGGUGGGGCGGCUCAGGAAGUUACUGGGCACGUGGGCUCGCCAGGGGUAUGUGACCAGGUGGGGUGUGGCUCCAUCCCAUCUGAGCCAGCUCAGGGAAUAUCAGAGGCAAUUGCUGGAUAUCAUCAGCCUGGAGACAGUUGUUGGUGCCGCUUCUCAGGAUGACACUGAUGAUAUCCAGCAUGCCCAAAGUCCUGUGUCAUCUCCCCCUGGCAGCCCCUCUGGCCAGCAACAACCCGAAGAGCCGCCCACACAGACUGAACAGGUCUCCCCUGCAACACACCAGCAGGAGGAGGAGGCAGCGGCGCCGAGCACCUUCCCACUGCAGCGAACCCAGGAGGAAGAUCUAGGUAGGAUGUUUUUAAUCACUU